GGUGUUAUAAUUUAAUGAAAAUGUCACUUUGCAAAAGUGAAUUUACUCGAUUGAGUUUUCAUCU
rnacentral:tRNA from 1 species